GACGAACGCUGGCGGCGUGCUUAACACAUGCAAGUCGAACGGAAAGGCCUUUUCGGAGGUACUCGAGUGGCGAACGGGUGAGUAACACGUGGGUGAUCUGCCCUGCACUCUGGGAUAAGCCUGGGAAACUGGGUCUAAUACCGGAUAGGACCGCACUUUAGUGUGUGUGGUGGAAAGUUUUUUCGGUGUAGGAUGAGCCCGCGGCCUAUCAGCUUGUUGGUGGGGUAAUGGCCUACCAAGGCGGCGACGGGUAGCCGGACUGAGAGGUUGGUCGGCCACAUUGGGACUGAGAUACGGCCCAGACGCCUACGGGAGGCAGCAGGGGGGAAGAUUGAACAAGGGGCGCAAGCCGGAUGCAGCGACGCCGCGGGGGGGAUGACGGCCUUCGGGUUGUAAACUCCUUUCGCCAGGGACGAAGCGUUUUGUGACGGUACCUGGAGAAGAAGCACCGGCUAACUACGUG
rnacentral:rRNA from 1 species